GACAGAGGGUGCAAACGUUGUUCGGAAUUACUGGGCGUAAAGCGCGUGUAGGCGGCUAAGUAAGUCGGGCGUGAAAUCCCACGGCUCAACCGUGGAAGUGCACUCGAAACUGCAUAGCUAGAGUCCUGGAGAGGAAGGUGGAAUGCUUGGUGUAGAGGUGAAAUUCGUAGAUAUCAAGCGGAAACACCGGUGGCGAAGGCGGCCUUCUGGACAGUGACUGGACGCUGAGA
rnacentral:rRNA from 1 species